rnacentral:rRNA from 1 species
GUAGGUGGCAAGCGUUGUCCGGAAUUAUUGGGCGUAAAGCGCGCGCAGGCGGUUCUUUAAGUCUGAUGUGAAAGCCCACGGGCUCAACCGUGGAGGGUCAUUGGAAACUGGAGGACUUGAGUACAGAAGAGGAAAGCGGAAUUCACGUGUAGCGGUGAAAUGCGUAGAGAUGUGGAGGAACACCAGUGGCGAAGGCGGCUUUCUGGUCUGUAACUGACGCUGAGGCGCGAAAGCGUGGGGAGCAAACAGGAUUAGAUACCCUGGUAGUCCACGCCGUAAACGAUGAGUGCUAAGUGUUAGGGGGUUUCCGCCCCUUAGUGCUGCAGCUAACGCAUUAAGCACUCCGCCUGGGGAGUACGGCCGCAAAGGCUG